CUCAUUCACACACUAACCCACCGACUCAUUCACACACUAACCCACUCAUUCACACACUAACUCAUCCAUUCACACACUAACCCACCCACUCAUUCACACACUAACCCAUUCAUUCACACACUAACUCACCGACUCAUUCACACACUAACUCACCCACUCGUUCACGCACUAACUUACCUACUCAUUCACACACUCAUUCACACACUAAACCGACUCAUUCAUACACUAACCCAUUCACAAACUCACCCAUUCAUUUGCACACUAACCCACUCAUUCACACACUAACCCACUCAUUCACACACUAACCCACUCAUUCACACACUAACCCACUCAUUCACACACCCACUCAUUUACACACUAACCCACUUGUUCACACACCCGCUCAUUCACACACUAACUCACCCAUUCACACACUAACUCUCCCAUUCAUUCACACAAACACCCACUCAUUCACACACCCACUCAUUUACACACUAACCCACUCGUUCACAUACCCGCUCAUUCACACACUAACCCACUCAUUCACACACUAACUCGCCCAUUCAUUCACACUAACUCACCCAUUCACACACGAACUCAUUCACACACUAACCCACCGACUCAUUCACACACUAACCAACUCACACACUAACUCACCCAUUCAUUCACAAACUAACCCACCCAUUCACACGCUAACUCACCCAUUCAUUCACAUAGUAACUCACCCACUCCUUCACACACCCACUCACACUAAAUCCCUCAUUCACACGCUAACUCACCCACUCAUUCACACACUAACCCACUCGUUCACACACCCACUCAUUCACACAAUAACAUCCACUCAUUCACACACCCACUCAUUCACACACUAACUCGCCCACUCAUUCACAAACUCGCCCACUCGUUCACACUAACCCCCUCAUUCACACACCCUCACACACUCUCACACACUAACCCACUCAUUCACACACUAACCCACUCGUUCACACACCCAUUCACACUCAUCCACACAAUAACCCACCCAUUCAUGCACUAACCCACUCAUUCACACACCAACUCACCCACUCAGUCAUGCACUAACUCACCCACUCAUUCACAUACUAACCCACUCGUUCACAAACCCACUCACACACUAACUCCCUCAUUCACACACUAACCCACUCAUUCACACACUAACUCACCCACUCGUUCACACA
rnacentral:lncRNA from 1 species